UGGGGAAUUUUGGACAAUGGGGGAAACCCUGAUCCAGCCAUCCCGCGUGUGCGAUGAAGGCCUUCGGGUUGUAAAGCACUUUUGGCAGGAAAGAAACGUCAUGGGUUAAUACCCCGUGAAACUGACGGUACCUGCAGAAUAAGCACCGGCUAACUACGUGCCAGCAGCCGCGGUAAUACGUAGGGUGCAAGCGUUAAUCGGAAUUACUGGGCGUAAAGCGUGCGCAGGCGGUUCGGAAAGAAAGAUGUGAAAUCCCAGAGCUCAACUUUGGAACUGCAUUUUUAACUACAGGGCUAGAGUGUGUCAGAGGGAGGUGGAAUUCCGCGUGUAGCAGUGAAAUGCGUAAAUAAGCGGAGGAACACAGAUGGCGAAGGCAGCAUCCUGGGAUAACACUGACGCUCAUGCACGAAAGCGUGGGGAGCAAACAGG
rnacentral:rRNA from 1 species